GACGAACGCUGGCGGCGUGCUUAACACAUGCAAGUCGAACGCUGAAGGCCCAGCUUGCUGGGUUGGAUGAGUGGCGAACGGGUGAGUAACACGUGAGUAACCUGCCCCCUUCUUUGGGAUAACGGUCGGAAACGGCUGCUAAUACCGGGUAUUCACUGUCCUUCGCAUGGGGGGUGGUGGAAAGGUUUUUUCUGGUGGGGGAUGGGCUCGCGGCCUAUCAGCUUGUUGGUGGGGUGAUGGCUUACCAAGGCUUUGACGGGUAACCGGCCUGAGAGGGUGACCGGUCACAUUGGGACUGAGAUACGGCCCAGACUCCUACGGGAGGCAGCAGUGGGGAAUAUUGCACAAUGGGCGAAAGCCUGAUGCAGCGACGCCGCGUGAGGGAUGACGGCCUUCGGGUUGUAAACCUCUUUCGCUCAUGGUCAAGCCGCAACUGUGGUUGUGGUGAGGGUAGUGGGUAAAGAAGCACCGGCUAACUACGUGCCAGCAGCCGCGGUAAUACGUAGGGUGCGAGCGUUGUCCGGAAUUAUUGGGCGUAAAGGGCUUGUAGGCGGUUUGUCGCGUCUGCCGUGAAAUCCUCUGGCUUAACUGGGGGCGUGCGGUGGGUACGGGCAGGCUUGAGUGCGGUAGGGGAGACUGGAACUCCUGGUGUAGCGGUGGAAUGCGCAGAUAUCAGGAAGAACACCGGUGGCGAAGGCGGGUCUCUGGGCCGUUACUGACGCUGAGGAGCGAAAGCGUGGGGAGCGAACAGG
rnacentral:rRNA from 1 species